rnacentral:rRNA from 1 species
UACGGGUGGUGCUAGUGUUAAUCCUCGUGACUUGGCGUAAAGGGUGUGUAGGCGGAAAUAAUAAUUUAAAGUUGAAUAGAAGGACAAUUUUUUUAUUUUAUUUCUAGAGUAAUAGAGACAAUUUUGGAAUUUCUUACAUUAGAAUUAAAAAGCGUUUGACAUAAGAGAGAACACCAAAGGCAAAGGCAGAAAUUGAUUUAUUACUGACGCUGAGACACGAAGGCAUGGGGAGCAAAUAAG